UACGUAGGGUGCUAGCGUUGUUCGGAAUUACUGGGCGUAAAGCGCGCGUAGGCGGCUUUGUAAGUUAGAGGUGAAAGCCCGGAGCUCAACUCCGGAAUUGCCUUUAAGACUGCAUCGCUAGAAUCAUGGAGAGGUGAGUGGAAUUCCGAGUGUAGAGGUGAAAUUCGUAGAUAUUCGGAAGAACACCAGUGGCGAAGGCGACUCACUGGACAUGUAUUGACGCUGAGGUGCGAAAGCGUGGGGAGCAAACAGG
rnacentral:rRNA from 1 species